rnacentral:rRNA from 1 species
AUUGAACGCUGGCGGCAUGCCUUACACAUGCAAGUCGAACGGCAGCGGGGACUUCGGUCCGCCGGCGAGUGGCGAACGGGUGAGUAAAGUAUCGGAACGUACCUUUCAGUGGGGGAUAACGUAGCGAAAGUUACGCUAAUACCGCAUAUUCUGUGAGCAGGAAAGCAGGGGAUCGCAAGACCUUGCGCUGAUUGAGCGGCCGAUAGCAGAUUAGCUAGUUGGUGAGGUAAAGGCUCACCAAGGCGACGAUCUGUAGCGGGUCUGAGAGGAUGAUCCGCCACACUGGAACUGAGACACGGUCCAGACUCCUACGGGAGGCAGCAGUGGGGAAUUUUGGACAAUGGGGGCAACCCUGAUCCAGCCAUGCCGCGUGAGUGAAGAAGGCCUUCGGGUUGUAAAGCUCUUUCGGCCGGGAAGAAAUCGUAUGGGUUAAUACCCUGUGCGGAUGACGGUACCGGCAUAAGAAGCACCGGCUAACUACGUGCCAGCCGCCGCCGUAA